GGCCCAAUGGAUAAGGCGCUUGACUACGGAUCAAGAGAUUCCAGGUUCGAGUCCUGG
rnacentral:tRNA from 4 species